rnacentral:rRNA from 1 species
UACGUAGGGGGCAAGCGUUGUCCGGAUUUAUUGGGCGUAAAGCGCUCGCAGGCGGCUCGAUGCGUCGUGCGUGAAACACCCCGGCUCAACUGGGGAGGGUCGUGCGAUACGGUCGGGCUGGAGGCCAGUAGGGGGAUGCGGAAUUCCGGGUGUAGUGGUGGAAUGCGUAGAGAUCCGGAGGAACACCAGCGGCGAAGGCGGCAUCCUGGACUGGUACUGACGCUCAUGAGCGAAAGCGUGGGUAGCAAACAGG